rnacentral:tRNA from 1 species
GGCGGUUUGGCCGAGUGGUCUAAGGCGAUUGACUAGAACCAUCUUGAAGUCAUUCUUGAAAUCAAGAUUCCCCCUAUCAAUUCCGUUCGCGGGCGCAUGUUCGAAUCAUGCAGCCGUCG